GUCACGUGGUUGACUCCCUGUUACACCUGUGCACAUUGCGGCUAACAUUGUCAUAGCAUGAGGCUAAAUUAGGUAAUGUUAACAGCGGUUUUUGUGGGUUAGCCAAAGUAACAGCGACCGUUUUUCAGAAAAGAAAUUUGCUCGGCAGCUUAAUUUUGGCCACGGGACAGGAAAACACAUCUCACAGCAAAUGGACUGGCGACGGCAUGAAACUCUGAGAUGCAUUUAUGAAUUUAACAACAAAACCGAAGCUAACUACACGGCUACUACGAGAGUUUCAGCGGCCACCAGGCAGACUCUUAGCUGGCUCCCAGCAGCAACCAUCUGGUGGACAGCAGAACCGGGCUACAGGGUGGCUCCCCACUCCAUUGAGCCGUCACAUAGCCCAAGGACACAAGCGAGAGCCUCAUCCUGAAAGUUUAUACAGGAGGCGUUCAGUUCUGCUUCUUGACCUGUGGAUGUUGGGUGCUGGUUGCACUACACCAAAAACAGAAGAAACACACUCAGUCUUGUUUAAGUGACAGACUUUGAAGCUGAACACAACCACAAUGAGAGAUGGCUUUCCUUCCCAGCCUCUGUCAGUGUGCUGACACUUCAACAUGAAGACCUUCGUCCACAGCUUGAAAAGCAUUGCUGCCACCAGUCACUACAUGUCAACAACAUCUAUCUGCUGCCAGAACUCAACUGCUACUUUCAUCUACUUUACUUUAGAGCAUGACCUCUUUGUCCUGUCGCUGGUGCAAACAUAGACUUGCAUGGUACCUUGAGUGCAGGACCUCUCACCACUGCAGUAAUGAGGGCGACUGAAGCACAGCAUACGGUUUUGGAUGACAGUGACACAUUAUGAGUUAACAUAGGAGAAAACCUGAAUUUGUGAAACUGCAGAGGCAUGUAUCUGUGUAUUGUUCUAAAAUGAUGAAUAAUUUAUUAUGAUCUCUGGAUUUUAGAUAAACCGUGAAUUACUUUUAUUCUGCAGAAGGACCCUGCUAAUUAUUUUCUUUUGUGAUUAUAUUUCUCUGUGGAUCCUCAUAUGGAAGUUAUGUAAAUUCCCAAAGGUAUUAAAACCAGAGUAGCAGGCAUUUUUUAUGAUUGGUUUUAUGAUUGGUAUCAUAGAAUAUAUUAUAAUUCUGUUUGGUUAGGUGUUGUGUAAAGAGGAUCACUUUUACAACAAAGUGCUUUUUUUCUUUUGCACUGUGCUACAAGAAAGUAUUUUGACUCUGGUUCUCUGACAAUAAUGAAACUCCUCUGAGGAUAGA